rnacentral:lncRNA from 1 species
AGCAGCCUGCGGGGCGUUCCCUCGGGUUGUGGUUGGUGUGCGGGUUUCGGUUGGAGGACUCGUUGGGGAGGUGGCCUGCGCUUGUAGAGACUGCAUCCCCGAGACGAUGGCGGAGGGAGAUAAUCGCAGCACCAACCUGCUGGCUGCAGAGACUGCAAGUCUGGAAGAACAGCUGCAAGGAUGGGGAGAAGUGAUGCUGAUGGCUGAUAAAGUCCUCCGAUGGGAAAGAGCCUGGUUUCCACCUGCCAUCAUGGGUGUGGUUUCUUUGGUGUUUCUGUAAGUGAGCUAUUAGAUUACUAUGGGUUGUGCUUCUUAUUAAUAAAGACUUUUUAAUAUAUAGCUUCUGUUUGUGGGAGUGCCUUAAGUCUUCUGUAAUAUAUAACCCAUAAAGAACCCAUAAAGAAUGUUUCUCAUAAGCACUUCUAGUUUCCAGAAUUUGUAGUACUUCUGUAAACUUGGUAACCUAAAGCACUUGAGUAAAUCAGUGACUCGCAAACUUUUUGUCCUCCAGACACUUAAACUCUUUUUUUGUUAUUAUACUUUAAGUUCUGGGAAACAUGUGUAGAAUGUACAGGUUUGUUACAUAGGUAUAUAUACAUGUGCCAUGGUGGUUUGCUGCACCCAUCAACCCUUCAUCUACAUUAGGUAUUUCUCCUAAUGCUAUCCCUCCCCUAGUCCCCCACCUCCCUAAACUCUUAAAAAAGUGCUGAGAACUCCAAAGAGCUUUUGUCCAUUGAUAUAUACUUAACCACUGCAGCUAUGAUAUCAGCAUGUCACAAAGCCUCUGGAAAGCCACUUGUGAGAAA